rnacentral:tRNA from 1 species
UCCCUGGUGGCUCAGAUGGUAAAGAAUCUGCUUGCAAUGCAGGAGACCCGGGUUCGAUCCCUGGGUCGGGAA